rnacentral:tRNA from 1 species
GGGGCUGUAGCUCAGUUGGGAGAGCGCAUGACUGGCAGUCAUGAGGCCAGGGGUUCGACCCCCUCAGCUCCACCA